rnacentral:rRNA from 1 species
CGCGGCCUAUCAGCUUGUUGGUGGGGUAAUGGCCUACCAAGGCGGCGACAGGUAGCCGGCCUGAGAGGGCGACCGGCCACACUGGGACUGAGACACGGCCCAGACUCCUACGGGAGGCAGCAGUGGGGAAUAUUGCACAAUGGGCGGAAGCCUGAUGCAGCGACGCCGCGUGAGGGAUGACGGCCUUCGGGUUGUAAACCUCUUUCAGCAGGGACGAAGCGUAAGUGACGGUACCUGCAGAAGAAGCGCCGGCCGACUACGUGCCAGCAGCCGCGGUAAGACGUAGGGCGCGAGCGUUGUCCGGAUUUAUUGGGCGCAAAGAGCUCGUAGGCGGCUUGUCGCGUCGACUGUGAAAACCCGCAGCUCAACUGCGGGCCUGCAGUCGAUACGGGCAGGCUAGAGUUCGGUAGGGGAGACUGGAAUUCCUGGUGUAGCGGUGGAAUGCGCAGAUAUCAGGAGGAACACCGGUGGCGAAGGCGGGUCUCCGGGCCGAUACUGACGCUGAGGAGCGAAAGCGUGGGGAGCGAACAGGAUUAGAUACCCUGGUAGUCCACGCUGUAAACGUUGGGCGCUAGGUGUGGGGGACCUCUCCGGUUCUCUGUGCCGCAGCUAACGCAUUAAGCGCCCCGCCUGGGGAGUACGG